UAACGUGGCCCAUCUCUUCGAGAUGCGCCACGCUCGCGAGGAAAGUCCCCCCACCUGUUCGGGCAGGUGACCGGACGCAAGUCCGGAGCGGGAGACCGCUGGCUCUGGAACAGAAACGACACGUCUCGGCCCGACCGAUGAUGCCUGCGAACCCGACCGAGAGGAAGGGGAGCUAACCGGCAGAGGGAAGCGUGGUUCGAAUCCACGGAUCGCGCCGACGGCGCGAUCGACCGUACAGAGACGGCCGAGGACCGAUGGAACGGCGAACCCUCACCGGUGCAAGUCCGCGCCGUGGUAGCCCGAACGCCCCGCGGUUUCCGCGGACGGCGCGGACGCUCAGCCGAAUGCCGGAUCGAACAGAAGGG
rnacentral:RNase_P_RNA from 1 species